rnacentral:tRNA from 1 species
AGGGGUAUAGUUUAAUGGUAGAACGAAGGUCUCCAAAACCUUUAGUGUAGGUUCGAUUCCUACUACCCCUGCCA